rnacentral:rRNA from 1 species
GGGCCCGCACAAGCAGUGGAGCAUGUGGUUUAAUUCGAUGCAACGCGAAGAACCUUACCAGGCCUUGACAUCCUCGGAACUUUCUAGAGAUAGAUUGGUGCCUUCGGGAACCGAGUGACAGGUGCUGCAUGGCUGUCGUCAGCUCGUGUCGUGAGAUGUUGGGUUAAGUCCCGUAACGAGCGCAACCCUUGUCCUUAGUUGCCAGCACAUUAUGGUGGGAACUCUAGGGAAACUGCCGGUGCUAAGCCGGAGGAAGGCGGGGAUGACGUCAAGUCCUCAUGGCCCUUACGGGUAGGGCUACACACGUGCUACAAUGGCAGUGACAAUGGGAUAAUCCCCAAAAGCUGUCUCAGUUCGGAUUGUCGGCUGCAACUCGCCGGCAUG